UUAACCAAAACGCAGCAGCUAGUUUAACAAAACUAACAGCUCUUUCAAGAUUAUGUGGUAGGUGGUGCAUGGCCGUUCUUAGUUCGUGAAGUGAUUCGUUCGCCCAAUCGCAUUUCCAAACAACUAACAACUCAGAAUGCUGGGCAAUAGGACGUUUAAAGUGGCUCCUUACACCUUACAAAGGAAUGGCUGAUGAGAAACAACUCGAUCCGCUCAGCGUUCUAUUGGAAUGCAACGGACGUGAUUGCAAGCUUUUGUUUUGAGUUGCGGUUUUACUGAAAGACUCUACAAUCCGCAAACUUCAAUGAUCUGAAGUAGAAAACCUACAUGCUACAGUGAGAUAUUGUGGAUAAACUUAAGCGACCGCUCCAACAUUGUGUUUUUUUAAAACUGAUGAAGGUUGCGGCAAUAACAGGUCUGUGAUGC
rnacentral:rRNA from 1 species